UACGUAGGGUGCAAGCGUUAAUCGGAAUUACUGGGCGUAAAGCGUGCGCAGGCGGUUGUGCAAGACAGAUGUGAAAUCCCCGGGCUCAACCUGGGAACUGCAUUUGUGACUGCACGGCUGGAGUGCGGCAGAGGGGGAUGGAAUUCCGCGUGUAGCAGUGAAAUACGUAGAUAUGCGGAGGAACACCGAUGGCGAAGGCAAUCCCCUGGGCCUGCACUGACGCUCAUGCACGAAAGCGUGGGGAGCAAACAGG
rnacentral:rRNA from 1 species